AUCCAGCUGACGAGUCACAACUAAGACGGGACACGCGUCCUGGAU
rnacentral:hammerhead_ribozyme from 1 species